CCCUUAGACGUUCUGGGCCGCACGCGCGCCACACUGACACAGGCAACGAGCUUUCCUUUACCGAAAGGUAUGGGUAAUCUUUUGAAACUGUGUCGUGCUGGGGAUAGAUCCUUGCAAUUUUUGAUCUUAAACGAGGAAUUCCUAGUAAGCGCGAGUCAUCAACUCGCGUUGAUUACGUCCCUGCCCUUUGUACACACCGCCCGUCGCUACUACCGAUUGAAUGGCUUAGUGAGGCCUCAGGAUCCGCGCUUAAUGUGUGGAGAAUUUGGACAAACUACGUCAUUUAGAGGAAGUAAAAGUCGUAACA
rnacentral:rRNA from 1 species